GCAGUCGUGCGGUGUGACUUGGACAGCUUGCUGCUCUCUGAUGGCACGCGGAGGGAGAAUAAUUAAAAAGGCCAGCAUCACUUACUAACACUCUUCAUCUCAAGUGAGUAAGAAAAAAAAGAUAGAAAUCCCCAGAAGAGAGAGAUCCUGCCUGUAGUUUGGAAGAAGCCACGCGGUACCUGAGAUAACUUCAACAGCAAAGGGCACUUCAGCAAAUGGUGAAGACAGCAAGAAGGCUCCUCUUCUCACACAAUGACAUCUCACAAUCGUGCAGGGCUUUCCAAUUUCCACGGUGCUCUUCACACAUAUUACCCUGUUUAAUUCUCACUACAACCAGUGAUAUCGGCGAGACAGAUAGUCUUUAGCUAACUUUACAGAUGAGGGUACUCAGGCUCACAGAGAGAGGACUUGCCUAAGGUUGAAAGAUAAUAAGAGACAGCUGCAGGUCUUCUGGGUCUUAAUCUGGUGCCAUUUUAGUAUUUUUCAUAGGUUCUUAUAAAAAACAUCCUCUUUAGAACCCGUGACUUAAAGGUGCCUUGAUUCUUAAAAAAUAAAAUUCUUUAGAGAUAGGGUCUUGCUGUGUUGUCCACGCUGGAGUGGUCACAGCUCACUGCAGCCUUAUUCUCCUGGGAUCAAGUAAUCCUCUCACCUCAGCCUCUUAAGUAGCUGGGACUACAGGUGCACACCACUAUGCCCAGCUAAUUUUUUUUAAAAGAUGGGGUUUUGCCAUGUUGUCUACCCUGGACUGAGACUCCUGCCCUCAAGCAAAUCCUCCUCCAAAUUGCUGGAAUUAUGGGUGUGAGCCACCAAAUGCAGCCUUUUUUUUUUUUUUUUUUUUUUUGGAGAGAACACGGUCUUGCUUUGUAGCUUGAGCUAGUAUUGAACUCCUGGCCUCAAGCUAUCUUCCUGCCUCAGCCUCCUAAAGUGCUGGGAUUACAGGCAUGAGCCACUAUGCCCACCCGCUUCCUUGAUUCUUGAUCCAUGCUCAUCCCCGCCUCACUUCUUCACCAUGAGGUUUUUUUUCUCAUAGCCUAUGUUAUUUGUAGUUAUGUGCACUUUGAAAAUACUUCCUGUAUCCUGCCAGCGAGGAAGAACCACAGCUAAUUUCCACUGGCAAAGGCAGAAGCCAUCCUUAACUUCCCAUUUUCCUCUAUUUGUUCCUCCUUUCCUUGAAAGUCAAGUUUACCCAUGAGCUGGUCUACAUUUGUACUAUUUUUACUUCUUCACUCCGCUUUGCAUCUCUACCCAGGGCUAUCUGCUUUCAUUCCUACUUUCCCAUUAAAACUGCUCUAAGUCAUUAACAACCAAUUCCACUGUGCCUUCCUCUCUGAAUCAUUGUAUUCAGUGACCACUCCCUCUCGCAAGACGUCUCCUCUGUCAUACCUGGCAUCAUUCUAUUCCUUCUUCAUUUCUGGUUACCUCCUCUCUAGCUUCAUGUCAGACUUAUCUUCCUUUAUUAAUGCCUUAAAUAUUAGUGUUUCUGAAGAGGGUUUCUGUGGCCACCUUCUAUUCUUAACUGUAAACACUUUGUUUUGUGUAAUGUAAAGCCUUGGCUUCAAUGAUCAUCUAUAGGCUGAUCAUCAAUUAUCAUCUCCAUCCCAAACCACUCUCCUGAAUUCAACCCAGGAUCUCUGGCUCCCUGCUGUUACCUCCUUGGGAUGGUCCACGAGCCCUUCAAUUCAGGGCACCCCAAAUCAUCCCCAAACCUGCCUCCCUUCACCCUCUUCUUUUUCUCCCCCAGCUGCUCUUCAAAUUCUCUCAUUUCUUUCCCUAUUUCUAUUUUCUCUUUUUUAUUGUAUUCCUAUCGCUCUUCUCUUAUUUUCCUAGUGGCUUUUCCAAAGGCCUAACUGUUCUCAUCAUUCUCAGAUAUGCCUUGCCCACAAUGCCUUCUCUGUACUAUGUCUAAUUGACCUACAGAAAGUGCAAAUGUGAUUAUCUUGCUCGCCUUUGUGAGAUCCUUCUGAGGAUCCCACCUUCUUACAUGGCCUUCCAGGCUGUUCAUGACCUGUGUGCUGCCUCUCCCUCGCCUGCUCUCUUCUAACUCGUCCAUUGCCCAUGCUCUGCUUCUAGGUCAUAAAAUGCCCCAUAACUCUUUCAUGCCUCUAGGAUUCCAUAUGAGGUUCCUGCUUCCUGGAACGUUCACCUCGGCUUCCUUCAUUUGACCAACUCCUCCUCCCCUUUCAAGACUGUUCCAGCAAGAAGCAUUUCUCCCCCGACCGAAACCUCCCAUGCUGGGUUACGUGCUACUGCAAGACCCUAUUCCUGCUUCCCUCUCCCACAGCAUGACUCCACUUUCACAAUGACCAAGUUUUCCCAUUUGACCAUGAGACACAUGGAGGCAGAGACCGUGCCCUUCAUCCCUGUCUUCCCAGCACCCAGCACAGAUCCCAAAAUAAACUGGGUGCUUAAUAAAUUAAUAUUACUAUUUUUAUUCCAAGUA